UACAGAGGUCUCAAGCGUUGUUCGGAUUCAUUGGGCGUAAAGGGUGCGUAGGCGGCGCGGUAAGUCGGGUGUGAAAUCUUGGAGCUUAACUCCGAAACUGCAUUCGAUACUGCCGUGCUUGAGGACUGGAGAGGAGACUGGAAUUUACGGUGUAGCGGUGAAAUGCGUAGAUAUCGUAAGGAAGACCAGUGGCGAAGGCGGGUCUCUGGACAGUUCCUGACGCUGAGGCAGGAAGGCCAGGGGAGCAAACGGG
rnacentral:rRNA from 1 species